GGGAUUGUGGCUCAGUGGUAGAGUGCUUGCCUAGCAUGCAUGAGGCAACAGGUUCAAUCCUCAGUACCA
rnacentral:tRNA from 2 species